CUCUCCGGAUCAGCUGUGAUGACACUGCCGUCAGUCUGUCCACAGUCCUCAGAGAAACCAAGUGGAAGUAGCAACUGAAGAACAAUCUCUAUGAGAGUGACCUGUGGCUAUGACUGUCAGACGUUAAAAUUUACUGACUGGUAAUGGAGGACUCAACCAUCUGUGGGAUGUGCCACUCCCAGGUGUAUUUUACAUGCAUGUGUGUCUAUGUAGCACUUGCAUUCCUGAUUUGCCUGGAGACCAGAAAAGGAUAACUGAAUAUAAGCCUGAGACCUUGCCAGUAAGCAUCAUUCCUCUGUGCUCUUUGAUUUAGCUCCUACCUCUAAAUUCAUGCCUUGAAUCCCUGCACUGGCAUCCCUCAUAGAUGGAAUGUUAUACACAUUAUCUUCUCAGUCAUGCUCUCUGACAGAAAAAUUACAGGAGAGAAGAGCUGAAGAGAUGGCUCAGCAGUUAAGAGCACUGACUUCUAGAACUUCCAGAGGUCCUGAGUUCAAUUCCCAGGAACCCCAUGGUGGCUCAAAACCAUCUGUAAUGGGAUCUGAUGCCCUCUUCUGGUGUCUGAAGACAACUCCAGUGUACUCAUAUAAAUGAAAUAAAUUAAUAAAUCUUUCUUAAAAAGAAAAAAAAAAAAGGCAUGCAAAAGAAGCAGAGGAGUGGUGCUUGUGUGCCCAGGCUUUAAAAACAAAAAAAAAAAAAAAACAAAAAAAAAA
rnacentral:lncRNA from 1 species